rnacentral:rRNA from 1 species
UGGGGAUUAGUGGCGAACGGGUGAGUAACACGUGGGCAAUCUGCCCUGCACUCUGGGACAAGCCCUGGAAACGGGGUCUAAUACCGGAUACUGAUCCGCCUGGGCAUCCAGGCGGUUCGAAAGCUCCGGCGGUGCAGGAUGAGCCCGCGGCCUAUCAGCUUGUUGGUGAGGUAGUGGCUCACCAAGGCGACGACGGGUAGCCGGCCUGAGAGGGCGACCGGCCACACUGGGACUGAGACACGGCCCAGACUCCUACGGGAGGCAGCAGUGGGGAAUAUUGCACAAUGGGCGAAAGCCUGAUGCAGCGACGCCGCGUGAGGGAUGACGGCCUUCGGGUUGUAAACCUCUUUCAGCAGGGAAGAAGCGAAAGUGACGGUACCUGCAGAAGAAGCGCCGGCUAACUACGUGCCAGCAGCCGCGGUAAUACGUAGGGCGCAAGCGUUGUCCGGAAUUAUUGGGCGUAAAGAGCUCGUAGGCGGCUUGUCACGUCGGUUGUGAAAGCCCGGGGCUUAACCCCGGGUCUGCAGUCGAUACGGGCAGGCUAGAGUUCGGUAGGGGAGAUCGGAAUUCCUGGUGUAGCGGUGAAAUGCGCAGAUAUCAGGAGGAACACCGGUGGCGAAGGCGGAUCUCUGGGCCGAUACUGACGCUG